rnacentral:rRNA from 1 species
GCAAUGCCGCGUGCAGGAUGAAGGCCUUCGGGUUGUAAACUGCUUUUGUACGGAACGAAACGGUGAGCUCUAAUACAGCUUGCUAAUGACGGUACCGUAAGAAUAAGCACCGGCUAACUACGUGCCAGCAGCCGCGGUAAUACGUAGGGUGCGAGCGUUAAUCGGAAUUACUGGGCGUAAAGCGUGCGCAGGCGGUGAUGUAAGACAGAUGUGAAAUCCCCGGGCUCAACCUGGGACCUGCAUUUGUGACUGCAUCGCUAGAGUACGGUAGAGGGGGAUGGAAUUCCGCGUGUAGCAGUGAAAUGCGUAGAUAUGCGGAGGAACACCGAUGGCGAAGGCAAUCCCCUGGACCUGUACUGACGCUCAUGCACGAAAGCGUGGGGAGCAAACAGGAUUAGAUACCCUGGUAGUCCACGCCCUAAACGAUGUCAACUGGUUGUUGGGUCUUCACUGACUCAGUAACGAAGCU